GCGCAAGCCUGACGGAGCAAGACCGCGUGAGGGAGGAAGGCUCUUGGGUUGUAAACCUCUUUUAUCAGGGAAGAAGAUCUGACGGUACCUGAUGAAUCAGCAUCGGCUAACUCCGUGCCAGCAGCCGCGGUAAUACGGAGGAUGCAAGCGUUAUCCGGAUUUAUUGGGCGUAAAGCGUCCGCAGGUGGUUUUUCAAGUCUGCUGUUAAAGCGCAGAGCUUAACUCUGUAACGGCGGUGGAAACUGAGAGACUAGAGUAUGGUAGGGGUUGCGGGAAUUCCCAGUGUAGCGGUGAAAUGCGUAGAUAUUGGGAAGAACACCAGCGGCGAAAGCGCGCAACUGGGCCAUUACUGACACUCAUGGACGAAAGCUAGGGGAGCGAAAGGGAUUAGAUACCCCUGUAGUCCUAGCUGUAAACGAUGGGUACUAGGUGUUGACCGUAUCGACCCGGUCAGUGCCGUAGCUAACGCGUUAAGUACCCCGCCUGGGGAGUAUGCACGCAAGUGUGAAACUCAAAGGAAUUGACGGGGGCCCGCACAAGCGGUGGAGUAUGUGGUUUAAUUCGAUGCAACGCGAAGAACCUUACCAGGGCUUGACAUGUCGCGAAUCUCGGUGAAAGUCGAGAGUGCCUUCGGGAGCGCGAACACAGGUGGUGCAUGGCUGUCGUCAGCUCGUGUCGUGAGAUGUUGGGUUAAGUCCCGCAACGAGCGCAACCCUCGUUUUUAGUUGCCAGCAUUUAGUUGGGCACUCUAGAGAGACUGCCGGUGACAAACCGGAGGAAGGUGGGGAUGACGUCAAGUCAGCAUGCCCCUUACGUCCUGGGCUACACACGUACUACAAUGCUUCGGACAAAGGGUUGCGAGCUAGCGAUAGCAAGCUAAUCCCGUAAACCGAGGCUCAGUUCAGAUUGCAGGCUGCAGCUCGCCUGCAUGAAGGAGGAAUCGCUA
rnacentral:rRNA from 1 species